GUUGAUGGUUUUGUUGUUGGAAUCCAACAUAGUAUUGUCACACAACCAACAUUAUCGGACAAUGAGGAGGUGUGAGAAAUGUGACUAAAUUGCAUGUGUGUAAUACUGUUGACAUUCCAAGCUCAAAGGUGUCAUUUCAUGGAGAAGCUGAGGCCAUUUUAGAAUCUGUGUUGUUUUCAUCAAAUUGUUAUUGUGGAGUAGUUGGUAGCAAUGUAAUUUGCAAUUAGUAGCUUCUUGUGCUUUGUAAUUUGUUAUAGUUGUAGUUGUAAUUCUUGUUUAACUUUGCCACUGUAUUUUGAUACACUUUAGUAGCAGGGUUUUAUGUUCUAGCCUAUGUUUGCCACCGUAUGCCAAACAUGAUAUUCGUGUGAUUAGCUUUUGAUUUUGAUGCUUGAUAGGUGUUGGCUGUUGUAAUGGUUUGUGUGAUUAAUCAGGGUCCAGAAUGUCAUAAAUUAGCGUCCAAACACCAAAGAGCAUGCUGGAAGCAAACAUACCAAAAUGACGUUACAUCUUGUAGUACUCCUAUUUUAUUUGUCUUCGGGCAUAAUAUGUAACCUAGCUGUUCUGUGUCAGGAAACUGGAUUCCCCCAGCCUACUCUAUUAUAAAGUGAUUACCCUUGGAUCAUGACAGAUCGUGAUCAUAUUGGAAAUUUGUUA